rnacentral:rRNA from 1 species
AGUGAACGCUGGCGGUAGGCCUAACACAUGCAAGUCGAACGGCAGCACAGUAAGAGCUUGCUCUUACGGGUGGCGAGUGGCGGACGGGUGAGGAAUACAUCGGAAUCUACUUUUUCGUGGGGGAUAACGUAGGGAAACUUACGCUAAUACCGCAUACGACCUACGGGUGAAAGCAGGGGAUCUUCGGACCUUGCGCGAUUGAAUGAGCCGAUGUCGGAUUAGCUUGUUGGCGGGGUAAAGGCCCACCAAGGCGACGAUCCGUAGCUGGUCUGAGAGGGUGGACGGCCACAGUGGGACUGAGAGACGGCCCAGACUCGUACGGGAGGCAGCAGUGGGGAAGAUUGCACAAUGGGCGGAAGCCUGAUGCAGCGACGCCGCGUGGGGGAUGACGGCCUUCGGGUUGUAAACUCCUGUCGACCGCGAGGAAGCCACCUGGUUGGAAGGGUGGUGACGGUAGUGGUAGAAGAAGCACCGGCUAACUACGUG